rnacentral:rRNA from 1 species
UACGAAGGGGGCGAGCGUUAUUCGGAAUCACUGGGCGUAAAGCGUGCGUAGGCCGUCUAGCAAGUUGGAAGUGAAAGCCCAGGGCUCAACCCUGGAAUUGCUUUCAAAACUGCAAGACUAGAAUCUCGGAGAGGAUAGCGGAAUUCCCAGUGUAGUAGUGAAAUACGUAGAUAUUGGGAGGAACACCAGUGGCGCAAGCGGCUAUCUGGACGAGUAUUGACGCUGAGGCACGAAAGCGUGGGGAGCAAACAGG